GACGGAGGAUGCAAGUGUUAUCCGGAAUCACUGGGCGUAAAGCGUCUGUAGGUGGUUCGAAAAGUCCACUGUUAAAAAUUGAGGCUUAACUUCAAAGAUGCCGUGGAAACUUUCAAACUAGAGUAUGGUAGGGGUAGAGGGAAUUUCCAGUGGAGCGGUGAAAUGCGUAGAGAUCGGAAGGAACACCAACGGCGAAAGCACUCUGCUGGGCCGACACUGACACUGAGAGACGAAAGCUAGGGGAGCGAAUGGG
rnacentral:rRNA from 1 species